UGCGGCCAUGGCCCAAGGGAAACGCCUGGUUCCAUUCCGAACCCAGAAGCUAAGGCUUGGCACGGCGAUGGUACUGCACUCGAUAGGGUGUGGGAGAGUAGCACGCCGCAGCAUU
rnacentral:rRNA from 1 species